GACGAACGCUGGCGGCGUGCUUAACACAUGCAAGUCGAACGGAAAGGCCCUGCUUUUGUGGGGUGCUCGGGUGGCGAACGGGUGAGUAACACGUGAGUAACCUGCCCUUGACUUUGGGAUAACUUCAGGAAACUGGGGCUAAUACCGGAUAGGAGCUCCUGCUGCAUGGUGGGGGUUGGAACGUUUCGGCGGUUGGGGAUGGACUCGCGGCUUAUCAGCUUGUUGGUGGGGUAGUGGCUUACCAAGGCUUUGGCGGGUAGCCGGCCUGAGAGGGUGACCGGCCACAUUGGGACUGCGAUACGGCCCAGACGCCUACGGGAGGCAGCAGUGGGGAAUAUUGCACAAUGGGCGGAAGCCUGAUGCAGCAACGCCGCGUGCGGGAUGACGGCCUUCGGGUUGUAAACCGCUUUCGCCUGUGACGAAGCGUGAGUGACGGUAAUGGGUAAAGAAGCACCGGCUAACUACGUG
rnacentral:rRNA from 1 species